AAGGAGAUCACCAGACUGCUGGGAUGCCUGCCAGAUGGUAAGCAGGACUAUGGACUAUGUGUUGAAACUUCCAGUGUUUGAAGAUCUGCUUCUUUGCCCUUUGAACUCUAUUGAAAACUUCAGAAAACAUAAAGAAGAAAAUAUUGAUGAUCCAUUACUCAGCUUCCAAGCGGAUGGUAACUAUUAAGGUCAGGAUCCUUGAGGAAGCAGAUCCUGAGAUGAAAACUUUCAAGCAGGAAGAUUACUUGGUGUACUCUUGGGAUCAACAACCUGGGAGGCAACAGGAUUGGUCACAGA